UAUUUUUUAUAUAUAUAAGAAAAAAUUAACAGCAUAAAUGGUUUAUGAUAAUUGGGGAUGACAAAUAAUGAUAAUAAUAAAUAACAGAUGAUCGAACCAGAUACUACGCUGCUGCUACACAACAUAAACGCAAUGGCUUUAGGAAGCCCACAAACUAACUGGUAAACUAUGGGACCCCAACAACAGGUAACCACGACAAACACAACAAAGAAGAUAUCCAGCGAAAUUCAAAUUUCCAUACACAACAUAAAAUUGAUACACCUGAAUGCAUCUCCAGUGGGAAAGCCAAUUAGGCAUUCCAAAAUUUUAUGCACUCACCGGGUAGAAGAUGUAUAAGGACACUAACAAGUUUGUCAAGAGAGCUAAACACCAAGCUACAACGCCAAACAAUCAAUGCCCAUGCUAAAGGCCCCU